CCGGAUUUUAGUAAAAAAAAAAAAAAAAACACAUCAUUUUUGGCUGUAUAUUUAUCUUAUUUAAAAAAAUUUCAUUGGUGAUUUCUUCAAAUUGGCACAAAUAAUUUUGAUACAUUUUCAAGCCUAAUGUCAUUUUUAAAAAGAGGGGUCCAUGAACUCAUUUUCAAGUUAAAUCAGUCUGAAUGAUAAAAAUCAGUCAAAAAAUGAAUCUUUUCUUAUGUAUAACUAUUUGACAUGGUUAAAAGUAACAUUUGACAUUAGCGACGUCAUUACCUCCCCUGUUACUGUAUCAUAUGCCCUUGACAUCAGCCUCCCUAUAGAUCUUGAGGAACCUUGGCUGUCAAAAAGUUACAGUAAGUUAAGUUAUCAUUUAAAGGUGCAUAAACUAAAAUUAUGCACCUUUGACUUUAAAAAAUUUGGCCCUUAAUUAUAACAAUACUUGCGGGUGUGCUGUAGCAAUUUAAAAAGAUCUACGUGUUUCUGUUUCUAGUGCAUCUUCAUCAGGAUAAAAACCACAGGCGAGUACAAAAUGGUGAAGUGAUAAUUUGCACGUCACAAUGUCAACAAGUGGAGUAAUUAUAAAUAGAAAAUGAGAGUUGGUAUGAAAUCAAACUUUAAAAAGAAUGUUAAAUAAAAUUUGUUGAAUAAUGCUUAAUCAAAUUUUGCAGAGGUACAUGCUUCCAAUUGGCUUCCCUCAGAGUUACAUGCCUCUAAUUGGGACCGCUCUGCCAGGGGUACUGCUUCUAAUUAGCUUUUGCAGACAGAGGUAUAUAUGUACUGCUUCCAAUCGGCUUCGCAACAAGACAGAGGGUGUGCUCCCAAUUAGCUUCACUAAGAGGUACAUACUUCCAAUUGGCUUCGCUCAGACAAACAUACUACUUCCUGUGAUGUAAUGGUACGGAUUUGCAAGUCUAUACUACUUCUAUUGUUGAAAUGGUACAUAAUUGCAAUUAAUUGUCGUCCAAAUUUGCAAAAACAUAUUUUAUUUAACAUUCUUGAUCCAGUUUACUUUCAUACCUACUUUCACUCUCUAUUUAUAAUUUCUUCUUAUGGUGACAAAUUGUGAAGUGCACAUUACCAUUUGGGAAUUGUGUACUCUUCUGUAGUUUUAAUACUGAUGAGGGUGCCGUAGGAACCAAAACUUGUCCAUCUUAUAUGCAAUCAAUUUCAACAGAAAUUGGAAACUAUGAAUUUACUUAUUGAGGUUAUGCAAGAACCAAAUGCAUAAAAAAUAUUCCUCAAAAGAUCAAGUUAACAUCAACAUCAGGAAACCUCUCAUUUAUUCUUCAAUUAACAAUAACUUUCGAAAUUUACCCUAUUUUGUAAAUUUUCCAUUCAAAAGAACCCUAGCAUGCUGUUUUGGAAAAUAAUAUGGAAAUUUUCAUAUCAAACUACUUUUAGAUCUUUUACAGUCAGGAUUCUAAUUUCUUCUAUGUCAAAAUUAUCUCCCCUUUAUACCCCCUUAUUUUUUCAAUCAUAAAAUGAAAAACUUUUUCUGAAUCAGAUAACCUUUGCAUUAGUUGAUUACUGUAUACCCCUACUUUUUAUAUUCAAUUCUUUGGAUCAAAGAAACAAUUCUUCAUCAUUUAAUUACUUUCUUAACAGUUAUCCCAUUUGCAGAGGACAUGGGGCAUUGACCAGCAUAUUUCAACUGUUCUGCUUAGUUUAAAACAAGGUGUUUGAUAAAUCAAGUUUGAUUUAGGUCUAUUUAAAGACUGAAGCUGAUGAUUUGAUAAGUCUCAUUUAUAUAUGUUUGUCACCGAUGUAUGAGGAAAUAAAAAUUAUAUGAAAUAUGAAAAAGCUGAAAUUAAGAUUUUAUCAUAGCUGUUAUGUGUUUUAUGUGAACAGUGUACAGAAAAUUUAAUUUGACGUUACUAAGAAAAUUUAUAGCCUCUUAAUUUUUACCUAAUUUAAAAAUUUUAUGGAGAUUUUGCCAACAUAAUGCAAUAAGAAAUACACAAAUGUCACUAAAUUAGAAAUAAUCCCCCCUUUUUUUAUGCCUUAAUGCAUGCAAAGAGAAAUGCCUAAAGACAAGGUCCUUGACAGAAUACUGAUUCUUACAGAGAAUCCUACCCCUUGAAAAUAAGAAUAAAAAAAUUUGUAAGGGUUCCACGGAACCCAGUGUCUCGCCUACUUUUGUUGUUAAUCGCAGACUCAACAAAAAUGAGGAAAAACAUCAAUAAAAUUUGCCCUCUCGAUACUGUCUUUUGAUUGACAGAAGCUUCCAAGUUUGGUAAAAAAUCCAGGAUAGUUUAUGAAUCUAAUAAAUGUUUUAUAAACUUUAACUGCAGACUGUAUGUAAUGUUAACUGGAAGAAAA
rnacentral:lncRNA from 1 species